AAUAGAUACCCUGGUAGUCCACGCCGUAAACGAUGAGUGCUAAGUGUUAGAGGGUUUCCGCCCUUUAGUGCUGCAGCUAACGCAUUAAGCACUCCGCCUGGGGAGUACGGCCGCAAGGCUGAAACUCAAAGGAAUUGACGGGGGCCCGCACAAGCGGUGGAGCAUGUGGUUUAAUUCGAAGCAACGCGAAGAACCUUACCAGGUCUUGACAUCCUCUGACAACCCUAGAGAUAGAGCUUUCCCCCUUCGGGGGGACAGAGUGACAGGUGGUGCAUGGUUGUCGUCAGCUCGUGUCGUGAGAUGUUGGGUUAAGUCCCGCAACGAGCGCAACCCUUGAUCUUAGUUGCCAGCAUUCAGUUGGGCACUCUAAGGUGACUGCCGGUGACAAACCGGAGGAAGGUGGGGAUGACGUCAAAUCAUCAUGCCCCUUAUGACCUGGGCUACACACGUGCUACAAUGGAUGGUACAAAGGGCUGCAAACCUGCGAAGGUAAGCGAAUCCGAUAAAGCCAUUCUCAGUUCGGAUUGCG
rnacentral:rRNA from 1 species